rnacentral:miRNA from 1 species
UUUAAUUACGAGCUCUGGCUAUUAAAUAACGAGACUACUUAUGAAAAAUAGUAGUCUCGUCAUUUAACAACCAAACCUCGUAUAAUU